rnacentral:rRNA from 1 species
GAAGGUGUACUGUGAGGUAUGCUGGAGGUAUCAGAAGUGCGAAUGCUGACAUAAGUAACGAUAAAGCGGGUGAAAAGCCCGCUCGCCGGAAGACCAAGGGUUCCUGUCCAACGUUAAUCGGGGCAGGGUGAGUCGACCCCUAAGGCGAGGCCGAAAGGCGUAGUCGAUGGGAAACAGGUUAAUAUUCCUGUACUUGGUGUUACUGCGAAGGGGGGACGGAGAAGGCUAUGUUGGCCGGGCGACGGUUGUCCCGGUUUAAGCGUGUAGGCUGGUUUUCCAGGCAAAUCCGGAAAAUCAAGGCUGAGGCGUGAUGACGAGGCACUACGGUGCUGAAGCAACAAAUGCCCUGCUUCCAGGAAAAGCCUCUAAGCAUCAGGUAACAUCAAAUCGUACCCCAAACCGACACAGGUGGUCAGGUAGAGAAUACCAAGGCGCUUGAGAGAACUCGGGUGAAGGAACUAGGCAAAAUGGUGCCGUAACUUCGGGAGAAGGCACGCUGAUAUGUAGGUGAAGUCCCUCGCGGAUGGAGCUGAAAUCAGUCGAAGAUACCAGCUGGCUGCAACUGUUUAUUAAAAACACAGCACUGUGCAAACACGAAAGUGGACGUAUACGGUGUGACGCCUGCCCGGUGC